GUGGGGGAUAUUGCACAAUGGAGGAAACUCUGAUGCAGCGACGCCGCGUGAGUGAAGAAGUAUUUCGGUAUGUAAAGCUCUAUCAGCAGGGAAGAUAAUGACAGUACCUGACUAAGAAGCCCGGCUAACUACGUGCCAGCAGCCGCGGUAAUACGUAGGGGGCAAGCGUUAUCCGGAUUUACUGGGUGUAAAGGGAGCGUAGACGGAAUGGCAAGUCUGAAGUGAAAUCCUGCGGCUUAACUGCAGAAUUGCUUUGGAAACUGUCAAUCUGGAGUGUUGGAGAGGUAAGCGGAAUUCCUGGUGUAGCGGUGAAAUGCGUAGAUAUCAGGAAGAACACCGGAGGCGAAGGCGGCUUACUGGACAAUAACUGACGUUGAGGCUCGAAAGCGUGGGAAGCAAACAGGAUUAGAAACCCCGGUAGUCC
rnacentral:rRNA from 1 species